GAUGAAUGGAGAAUUGGAAUUACAUGUAUCGCCUGUAAUUGCCGAAUUCACCCCAUUAUCACCUGAAGCGUACGAUAUUUUCCUUAUCUAUCUUGCGAGGAAGACUAAUUCAAUCAAUCGAAGGGUGAGAUCCACCAUUUUCAUCAAGGUAACAUUCACACCCUGCCAUUGUUUUCUUCUUAAUUCUUAACUAUUUCGAAUUCCAUUAUCUGAGUACAAGAGGGCAUAUACCAGUAGUAUGCCACAUCUAAUGAUUUCUUUAUCAUUAUCAUAUUAUUAUUUAUGUUACAUUACUGUAGAUAAUAGUUUUAUAUGGUUACUUGAUGCAAUAGUGUGGCAACACAUUUUGGGUAUCGAUCAUUUGGAUAGUGCCUCUGUCGUAAAACCAAUCACCAACUGCCUGUGCAAUAGCCUGUAAAAAUUGUGUUUCAACUUACAAUGCUAUAGAAAUAGAGACGAUG
rnacentral:lncRNA from 1 species